rnacentral:rRNA from 1 species
AGGAAAUUUGAGAAGAGCUGUCCUUAGUACGAGAGGACCGGGAUGGACACACCGCUGGUGUACCAGUUGUUCCGCCAGGAGCAUACGCUGGGUAGCUAUGUGUGGACGGGAUAAGUGCUGAAAGCAUCUAAGCAUGAAGCCCCCUUCAAGAUGAGAUUUCCCAUGAUUUUAAAUCAGUAAGACCCCUUAGAGAUGAUGAGGUUGAUAGGUCUGGAGUGGAAGCACGGUGACGUGUGAAGCGGACAGAUACUAAUCGGUCGAGGGCUUAACCC